UAUUACUCACAUAUAAUGAAGAAAUCAUAUAUUUGAUAAAAUUGUGGGUUACAAUAUUGGAUAUUACAAGAGGAACAUCAUCAGAAUGUGAUGCAUAAUCUAAAUAUUUUCUACACAUCGAAAGUUCAACCGAAAGCAUCCAUCAACAUCCCUACAACUUAUCUAAAACUUAACCGAGGAACAUCACCCAUCACCCAAAAUGAACAUCCCUACAACUUAACGAACAAUAAAAGCAUCCAUCAUCAUCAUCAUCAUCAUCAUCAUCAUGGACAGGAGCAUCACCAUCUUCACACACCCAUAUAAUCAUCCAUUUAUUUCUUGCAUCUACAAACAAAAAAAUCAAAAUGAACUGUUAUCACACAGUGCAUUGACAUGAUGCAAGUAGUUGUAGAGACAGAAUAUUAGUCAUUGUAUAUGCUGAUAUAUCUCUCUAUGCAAACUCGAUCCAGAAAUUCAUCUACACAAGCUGACUACUAUUUACUUUCUCUAGGAAAUCACAUUAGUAAUUUGUUGAAUUCUAUAUCCAUUGCACACUGCAUAAAAAUAACAAAUAUUACUUAACCAUGAAUGAAUUGCAAAAGCUUAGCAUAUGAAUAUCGGAUUUGUGAUUUAAUCCCUAUCAUCGUACAAUAGAAUUGACAAUUAUAUCGUUCUUCGACAAUGCAAAGACCAACCGCAGAAUUUUCUUCAAACAUUGAAAAAAGGCUAGUAAGGUCAUUCUACUAUUCAUACUACUCAUGAACCCAUGCACAGUCUAGCAUUUUGUGUUACACAUUGUUAGCUGGGAAUAACUACUAUGGUGAUCUAAAAUAGUUAGCUUCAAUAUGACAUCAAUAAUUAGCUUCAACGGAAGCCUUGUACAAUGCACACUUAUUCUCAUGACGGUGGCCUUGGUCUGGUAUGGUUAGGAGAAGACACCAAAAAGGAUUGGUGGGAAAUUUCUUAGAUUUACAGACCAUACGCAAGAAGAUUCGUAUGUCUUUAGAAUUUGCAAUAUAUUAGGCCUAAGAUUUAAAGCAUCGAUAUGAUCAUAGAAAAUAAAAGUAUGCUUGAUGGCACAUAUAUUUUCACAUCCAUCGACAAAAGCUAUGAAGAAACUUACCUUAUCAGUUCAAAUAUGAGGCAAAAUUGGUAAUUCUCAAGUUCAUCCUCUCCUCUACUUGCAUGCCACAUACCUAACUGGUACACGUGGUAAUUAGCUCAAGUAAACAUUUGUUUUCUUUUAAACUGAAAACAAACAUAAUUUGUGUGCUGCAAAUACAAUAGAAUAUGUUUUUUGUGAUGCAUAGUGACAUAAAUAUUAUAAAUGGCAAAAAUAAUGAUGAGUAAAUAUUUUGUGGGCAACGAACAAAAGUGAGAGUUGAAUCUCUGGACCCAAAAAAGGAUGUUUGCAAAUCGAUAGUGUGUAUACUGUUCUAGCUUUCUAGGAACAUCUUAUUGGGCAAAACCAGCAAAUUUAUAUUGAAAUUGCUAAAAGAGUAACUAAUUUAUCAUGGAAUGGCUACAGGAAUACCUUAAUUUUAGAGGGACAAUUUGUAGGCGCUUGUUUCCUUGGAGUGUAUUUCAUGAGUACAUAGUACUGAAAAAUAGUAGUACAUCACAGGUUAAUCCUUUUAUCUAGUUUGUUCUUUCCCUUCCCGUAUGGAAUUUGCAAAACAAAACUGUUUGGUCUUUCCAUCAUUCAUAC
rnacentral:lncRNA from 1 species